UCUGUCUACUGCACACAACUCGGCGACUUUCUGUUCUCAUCUGAUUUCAGAAGCUAAGCAGGGUGGGGCCUGGCUAGUAUUCGGACAGGA
rnacentral:rRNA from 1 species